CGCGGGUAAACGGCGGGAGUAA
rnacentral:ncRNA from 3 species